AUGGGAUUUUUGCUCCUUGUCAUUGUCGCUGUAGCAGCUUUGGAAGGUGUCCGGUCCCAGACGCUGGUGGAGUCCGGAGGGGGUGUGAAGAAGCCCGGAGACUCUCUCCGCCUCUCCUGCAAAGCCUCCGGGUUCACCUUCAGCAGCUACUGGAUGAGCUGGGUCCGCCAGGCUCCAGGCAAAGGACUAGAAUGGGUCGCUCACAUAAACCCCGGUGGGAGUACUACAUACUACCUCGAUGCAGUGAAAGGGCGAUUCACCAUCUCCACGGAUAACGCCAAGAGUGAGCUGUAUCUGCAAAUGACCGGCCUGAAGCCCGAGGACACCGCCCGCUAUUACUGUGCGAGUUACACACUGAAACAAAACCGGUUUGUGAUCGUACAAAAACCCAGGCUGCGGAAUCGCCCUUCUCCCGGCGGCCGCGCGGGGGCAGCAGCGACACCCCCCGCUUCGGGCUCGGGCAGGAGACCCGGCACCCGGGGGAACGGGACACAAACCUCCCGCCAGUUUAACCCUUCCGUUCCCGGACUCUGA